rnacentral:rRNA from 1 species
AACGAACGCUGGCGGCGUGGAUUAGGCAUGCAAGUCGUACGCGAAAGAGGGGGCAACCCCUUGAGUAGAGUGGCGAACGGGUGAGUAACGCGUGAGGAACCUGCCUUCGACAGGGGGAUAACACUCCCAACGGGGUGCUAAUACCGCAUGAGACCACGGGGCUGCAUGGCCCUGAGGUCAAAGAUGGCCUCUAUUUAUAAGCUAUCGGUCGAAGAUGGCCUCGCGUCCCAUUAGCUAGUUGGCGGUGUAAAAGACCACCAAGGCGACGAUGGGUAGCUGGUCUGAGAGGAUGGUCAGCCACACUGGUACUGAGACACGGACCAGACUCCUACGGGAGGCAGCAGUAAGGAAUAUUGGACAAUGGUCGCAAGACUGAUCCAGCCAUGCCGCGUGCAGGAUGAACGAUCUAUGAUCUGUAAACUGCUUUUGUUCGGGAAUAAACCCCUUCACGUGUGGAGGGCUGAAUGUACCGAAGAAU